UUCUGAAUCUUAUUUUAACCACAUUUCACGUUGUUAUCUCUAGUUAACAACUUUUUUUGGGGUUAAGUGAUUGUGUAUCAACUUUAACCAUAUUUGUCAUUGUUUAGUGUUAACAAACGCAGUCAGCUGUUUGGUGACAAUUAUUUUUGUGGUUAAGCUAACAGCAUCUAGUUUUUCUUUGUUAAGCUGUUGUUUACUAAUUUUGCUGUGAAGUUAAAUUGAGAAAAUUGUGAAGAUUGUGUUAAAAAAUGGCAUUUGCAUACAUUGCAUCAUAUUUAUAUGAUACCGAUAAUGAGCAGCCAUUAAACGUGCCAAGAAUUGACCGGCGGACCGGAUCAAUACAGCCUAUAUUGCUGAAAAUGUUCCUAAAUCUAUUACAAAACAACCAACCCAACAGCGCCCUUACACUGUCCGGGCGUUUCGCUUUAAACCAAUAAACAACAAUUGAAUUUGUGAGUGCCGGUGCUGUUGUGAAGGGUUAUUCAUGGAUACCAUAAAAAGAGAUACAAAACUACAUCAAUGCUGUUGGCAUAAUACUCGCUUCUCUGCCUGAGAAAUGUUGGAAGGCAAAUGAUCCCCAUAGUGAGCCGCUGAUACCUACGUGUCUUCAGUUGGUAAUUGCAUAGUUACUGCCGCGAGUGCGGUUCACAAUGCUCUUUGCCGCAUUCUUUUUGGCAUGGUCGUUUGUUGAACCAGCCCACAUAACAGACGCUCGUUUGGCAAGUUCUAUUUCCGUUGCUUGAUAAUGUGCGUGCGCUUUCCAGUACGGGAAGCAGUGAGAAGGUGGAUGGUGCUGCCUUGAGUAAAAAUUGUGAAGACUCGCUGGCCGCACUAAAAUCUCUGCAAGAAAUUAUGCAUGACAAUGCAGACAAAUUGGCGUCACUUGCUAACGAGGAAACAGCGGAAACAAAGAUGAGGAAUUUGCAGGAUUGCAUGGAAUAUUUGGCUAAAUACCGGCAUUGAAAGCACAAAGAUCACAACGAAAAACAACCAUGCCAAAGAGGAGUUUUAUGUGCCUAGUCAGGCAUUUUUAAUAGCGCUAACACAAAUUUUCUAGCACAUACAACUGCGGGGGUGAUACAUCAUUGAAUUCGAAUGUCUUCACUGGGCGCUUGGCGGUUACUGCUUUACUACAUCGAUUCCAAUACGUUUUGAAGCGUUUCAAUGACGACGAACGGCUGAUGGGCGCCGUGCAAGGGUCACAGUAGUUCAUUCCGGGGUAUUGGUCGUAACUAUCAGUGAAGUGCACAGCUGCCAAAUGCGCAUUAAGUCAAUUAAAGAACCAGUUAGAUAACAAAGAAGGAUCAUACCACAACAUUACCGGCACCCUGACACUUAUUGAAUAAGUACCAAAUAAGUAAAUACAUAUCGUCACCUGAAAUGCAAAAAGACGUAACAAUAUCGUAAAUGAGAUUGAAAAAGUCGUGACUAAUAUUUUCAUUAUUU